rnacentral:snRNA from 1 species
UGCACUUUUUUGCACUUAGGCAGAAAGCACGACCUCGGGCUUUCAAAAAAAAAAAAAAAAUCUGUUCUUAUCAGUUUAAUAUCUGAUACGUCCCCUAUCUGGGGACCAUAUAUUAAAUGGAUUUUUGGAACAGGGAGAUGGAAGAAGAGCUUGCUCUGUCCACUCCACGCAUCGACCUGGUAUUGCAGUACCUCCAGGACCGGUGCACCUCUC